rnacentral:rRNA from 1 species
UACGUAGGUGGCGAGCGUUGUCCUGAUUUACUGGGCGUAAAGGGAGCGUAGGCGGACUUUUAAGUGAGAUGUGAAAUACUCGGGCUCAACUUGAGUGCUGCAUUUCAAACUGGAAGUCUAGAGUGCAGGAGAGGAGAAUGGAAUUCCUAGUGUAGCGGUGAAAUGCGUAGAGAUUAGGAAGAACACCAGUGGCGAAGGCGAUUCUCUGGACUGUAACUGACGCUGAGGCUCGAAAGCGUGGGGAGCAAACAGG